rnacentral:lncRNA from 1 species
CAAGCAACUAGAAAUCCUGCUAAAAGACACUUCUGUUAAGAGUAACUGGUCAUUCUGAAGAUUUGUUUGUAUUAGUUUACUCCAAUGUCUAGCGAUAUAUAUAACUUGUUCUCAAAUCACUCGAUUUAAAAAAAAAAAAAAAUAAGAGAGAGAAAAAAAAAAAAAGAUUCUUGUAAAUAUUGCACUGUAAACAAACACUACCAAGGGGCCUCAAAUACUCAAUUUCCUCUGGAGAUCAUUUAUGUAAACACUUGAAUCCAAUUUAAACAAAAAUGUUCUACAUACAACAAAACGUUCUACCACACUCCUUCAAGGGGUCUCGUUGAUAUAUGAGAGAAUCUCUACUACUACGUUAGUGAUGAAUGACUAAUAAUAAUACAUAAUCCAGUAUAAAUCAAGCCAACAACACGGGAAACAGCAGCUAAAUAUCCCCUCCAUGACAUUCCCACAUCAACAGCCACCAUGUAGCCCGAACAACUGUUUGGGGGUGGGGCUACUUAUGCUCUCCUCUCAGAUAUACAAGAAAUCCCCCAGAAAAUUUAUAUUUAUCACAACUUUUCAUCAGCUUUCAUAGCCUUCCCAGAUACAGAUUAUAUUCACAAGACAGAACAAUUAUUUUCCUGCUUCCAGAGCAAUUACACUCCAACAAAGGAAGAUUUCAGGAGAGAAAAACAAUCGCUUUUAAUGGGCAAUGAAUGGGAUUAUCACAUGCUAAUAUAAAUGCCAAGACUACAAACUCUUAAUUUAUCACUAAUACUAGAAUGUCUUUAUUCUAUACAUGACACGUAGGUUUAACGUAAUACUAUAGCAGUAGGUGACAUUCUGUACUUAUGAUGCACCGACAUGGACACUUAUGCCUGAACAAUACGAGUCGAACAUGUUGACACACGAUUGUUCAAAAAAGUACCAAUAGGACACGUCACCGACGCAUUGAUUGAAUUCUUUAAAAUUCUUCAUUUAUAUAAUAUAAAUUUACUUUUACACUUAAACUUGUUAUUAACUUUUAUUGUUUAAAUCCUUUAAAUAUAGUAUAUAUUUGUUAUUUACUAAUAAUUUUGAAUUAAAAUAUAUAAUAUUUUUAAUAAAAAAGAAAAAUAUUUAAUAAGAGUGUCCGAGAAGUGUCGACGAGAAGUAUCGAUAUCGACACGUAUUCGAUACAGACACACUACCCUAAUUGAAGCGUCUGUGCUACAGAGAUUUGUACAAAUGCAUAUAACCAGCAAAUAAUAUUAAUUGCAAGUCUAAAAACAAGAUCAAGGAACAAAACAUGUAAGUUUCUUGUUUCAAUUAACCUUCCUACAGAAAAAGAAAAUCACAAUAGGGGAAAUGCAAAUUGAAUUAAAUAACGAGUAAACGCUCAAACAAUAUGAAAAAAUUGAAAACAAACAAUAUUUACCAUCCAUAAUGUUAUCAGUAAACCUCUUCUUGCAUUUGCAGACGAGAUAAUUAUCUUCACGUAGAACAAAGCUCAGAUUUGAACAUAAUGAUGAACUUCAUGGAGUAUAAAAAUGUCGUGUGAAAUUUUUCCAUCAAGAAAAUUUCUAGUAAUCUAGUAUGGAGCACUCAUAUUCCUUGCGACAUGUAUUAAAUAGGAGGGUACACACCAAUCAAUUGGGACCCAAACAUGGAUACGUGAUAUGCGUGUCAAUUAAAUAGUGGCAUGAAAACUAUACUCCAUACUUGGGGAGUACUAGAAUUGUUUAUGUUCAGAACUCAACAGUUACACCUACUUGUUCAACACUAUACUUCAAUUAUGCCCUUCUAAAAGGAACAUCAGCUCUAACAAUUCCGCCGCCGUCUACCAAAACAAUUGGAAAUGUUUCAAAAAAAGUAGGCAUACGAUGUACAAAAAGUUCACGCCAAGGAUAAAAUUGGUUCUAUCACAGCAGCCAAAGCAUAUCCCAGGAGAGAAUCAAUCAGAUAGCCAAUGAAAGAGAGUAAAGUGCCAGCCCAGCUCCUUCAAUAUGUGUCCAGCAUUGCCUGGCUUUUUCAUGUCCAACCAUGCACCCCACACAGCCCGUGCAUGCCAUACAUAACUAAUGGCCAAAACAUAUCCGGCCAUUGUCCAGUGACCAAAAAUUUGGAUGCUGGGGCACUUGGGACGGGUUGGAUUUUUUCUCCUUUUUUCAUACUACAGUAUAUCAUUGGCCAAAAUUGGAUACAAAAUGUAUAUGAUAAGUUUAUUGGAUUAUGGAAUUUUUAUUGUACUUGCAUUUGAGUCCUGUUUUUCUUAAUCUGUUUCUAAAAGAAACC